rnacentral:rRNA from 1 species
CUAAUCGGCAAUGCCAUGCUGAAUACGCCGGUUCUCGUCCGAUCACCGAAGCUAAGCUGCAUUGGGCUCGGUCAGCACUUGGGAAGGAGACCACCUGGGAACACCGAGUGCUGAUGGGA